rnacentral:rRNA from 1 species
CCUACGGGAGGCAGCAGUGAGGAAUAUUGGUCAAUGGCCGGAAGGCUGAUCCAGCCAUGCCGCGUGAAGGACAGUGCCCUAUGGGCGUUAAACUUCUUUUGUGCGGGAGCAAUAAUGGUCACGUGUGGCCAGACGAGAGUACCGUACGAAUAAGCAUCGCCUAACUCCGUGCCAGCAGCCGCGGUAAUACGGGGGAUGCAAGCGUUAUCCGGAGUUAUUGGGUUGAAAGGGUGCGGAGGCUGUGAGGUAAGUCAGCGGUGAAAUGCCCCGGGUCAACGGGGUGAAGUGCCAUUGAUACUGCGUGGCUGGAAUGCGGAUGCGGGGGGAGGAAUGUGUGGUGUAGCGGUGAAAUGCAUAGAUAUCA